CCACUCAGCAGCCCCACUGGACCCCAGGUACCGCAUGUUCAGCCCACCAGCCCCACUGGACCACAGGGUGGAGUAAAAUAAAAAAAAUAAAAAAAAUUGUAUGUGUAUCUGUUAGGGAGCUUGUAUGUGUUUGUGUAUCUGUCAAAGAGUAUAUGUGUGUUUGCCAGAGACAAUGUAUGUAUGCUUGUCAGUGAGAAUGUAUUUGUGCUUGGCAGUGAGUGUAUGUGUUUGUAUGUGUCUGUAAAAGAGUGUGUGUAUCUGUCAAAGAGUAUGUGUGUCGGUGUGUGUGUAUAUCUGUGUGUCCAUGUUUGUGUAUGUGUCACCGUGUGUAUCCGAGUAUGUGUGUAGGUCAGUAUGUUUGUGUGUAUGUGCCAGUGUAUAUAAGUGUGUUUGUAUGUGCCUAUAUGUGUGUGUGUGUAUGUCAGUGUGUGUGUGUAUCUGAGUUAGUCAGUGUGUGCAUAUGACACUGUGUGUAUGUGUCAAUGUGUGUAUCUGUGGGUGCAAGUGUGUGUAAGUGUCACUGUGUGUAUCUGAGUGUGUGUGUAUUUGUGAGUCAAGAUCUGUGUGUCUGUGUGUUUGAGUGUGUGUAUCUGUGUGUCAAGGUUAAUGUGUCUGUGUGCCACUGUGUGUAUCUGUGUGUCAGAUACAUAUACACAGAAUGACAUAGAUACACACACUUUGAUACAUAGAUACACACACCUUGACACACAAAUACAUACACGCACACACACACAGAUAGACACUGUGUGUGUGUAUUUGUGUGCCACUAUGUGCGUUUGUGCGUAUCUGUGUGUCAGAUUCAUACACACUGGCACAUACAAACACAGAUACACACAUUGACAUACAGAUACACCGGCCUUAGGGGUGUGCGACCUGUGCGGCCACACAUGGCACCAUAGACCAGGGGGCACCCUGCGGCCGACACAGCUCACACAUGGCCG